GGGGGCUUGCUCCCGGGUUAGUGGCGAACGGGUGAGUAAUAUAUCGGAACAUAUCCGGAAGUGGGGGAUAACGUAGCGAAAGUUACGCUAAUACCGCAUAUGCCCUGAGGGGGAAAGGGGGGGAUCGCAAGACCUCUCGCUUUCGGAGUGGCCGAUACCGGAUUAGCUAGAUGGUGAGGUAAGGGCUCACCAUGGCGACGAUCCGUAGCUGGUCUGAGAGGACGACCAGCCACACUGGAACUGAGACACGGUCCAGACUCCUACGGGAGGCAGCAGUGGGGAAUUUUGGACAAUGGGCGAAGGCCUGAUCCAGCCAUACCGCGUGAGUGAAGAAGGCCUUCGGGUUGUAAAGCUCUUUCAGCCGGAAAGAAAUCGCACUUUUUAAUACGGAGUGUGGAUGACGGUACCGGAAGAAGAAGCACCGGCUAACUACGUGCCAGCAGCCGCGGUAAUACGUAGGGUGCGAGCGUUAAUCGGAAUUACUGGGCGUAAAGCGUGCGCAGGCGGUUUGAUAAGCCAGAUGUGAAAUCCCCGGGCUUAACCUGGGAACUGCAUUUGGAACUGUCAGACUAGAGUGUAGCAGAGGGGGGUAGAAUUCCACGUGUAGCAGUGAAAUGCGUGGAUAUGUGGAGGAAUACCAAUGGCGAAGGCAGCCCCCUGGGUUAACACUGACGCUCAUGCACGAAGCGUGGGGAGCAAACAGGAUUAGAUACUCCUGGUAGUCCACGCCCUAACGAUGUCAACUAGUUGUUGGGGGAGGAGACUUCUUUAGUAACGCAGCUAACGCGUGAAGUUGAUCGCCUGGGGGAGUACGUCGCAAGAUUAAAACUCAAGAAAUUGACGGGACCCGCACA
rnacentral:rRNA from 1 species